rnacentral:sRNA from 1 species
UCGGGUGCCGAAAGGACCCGGCGGAACGAGAGGGCGUCGGCUCUGCCCCCGGCGCUUCUCAUGCUCAGAUUGCUCAGAAGAGGAUUUGGAUAUGAGGA